UCGACUCUCAGAAGCCAUGAUGCCCGACGCGCCGUUUUCUGGAUCGCCCUAGCGUCGGGCGGAGCUAAUCGCGAAACCGGCUGAGCACGA
rnacentral:ncRNA from 1 species